rnacentral:rRNA from 1 species
AACGAACGCUGGCGGCAAGCUUAACACAUGCAAGUCGAACGGAUUGUUCUCGUAGCUUGCUAUGAGAACAAUUAGUGGCAGACGGGUGAGUAAUGCAUAGGAAUCUACCUAGUAGUAUAGGAUAGCCACUAGAAGUGGUGGGUAAUACUGUAUAAUCCCUGCGGGGGAAAGAUUUAUCGCUACAUGAUGAGCCUAUGUUAGAUUAGCUAGUUGGGGGGGUAAUGGCCUACCAAGGCAGUGAUCUAUAGCUGGUCUGAGAGGAUGAUCAGCCACACUGGAACUGAGACACGGUCCAGACUCCUACGGGAGGCAGCAGUGGGGAAUAUUGGACAAUGGGCGCAAGCCUGAUCCAGCUAUGCCGCGUGAGUGAGGAAGGCCUUAGGGUUGUAAAACUCUUUCAGUGGGGAAGAUAAUGACGGUCCCCAC